CACGUAGUUAGCCGUGGCUUAUUCAAGAGGUACCGUCUUCUUCCCUUCCCUCUUGAAAGAAGUUUACAACCCGAAAGCCUUCUUCCUUCACGCGGCGUUGCUGGGUCAGGCUUGCGCCCAUUGCCCAAUAUUCCCCACUGCUGCCUCCCGUAGGAGUCUGGGCCGUAUCUCAGUCCCAAUGUGGCCGGUCAACCUCUCAGUCCGGCUACUGAUCGUCGCCUAGGUGGGCCGUUACCCCGCCUACUAGCUAAUCAGACGCGAGGCCAUCUUCCAGCGAUAAAUCUUUGACAUUCAAACCAUGCGGUUCAAAUGUUUCAUGCGGUAUUAGCAGUCGUUUCCAACUGUUGUCCCCCUCUGGAAGGCAGGUUCCUCACGCGUUACUCACCAGUCCGCCACUAAGCAUUCCCUUCCGUUGUCCGAAAACUCCUUCAGGGGUGCUCCGUUCGACUUGCAUGUGUUAAGUACGCCGCCAGCCGUUCGUCCUGAGCCAGGAUCGAAACUCU
rnacentral:rRNA from 1 species